rnacentral:rRNA from 1 species
GACGAACGCUGGCGGCGUGCCUAAUACAUGCGAGUAGAACGCUGAAGGGGGAGCUUGCUUCUCUGGAUGAGUUGCGAACGGGUGAGUAACGCGUAGGUAACCUGCCUGGUAGCGGGGGAGAACUAUUGGAAACGAUAGCUAAUACAGCAGAAUAGAAGAUGUUGCAUGACAUUUGAUUAAAAGAUGCAAUUUCGUCACUACCAAAUGGACCUUCGUUGUAUUAGCAGGUUGGUGGUGUAACGGCUCCCCAAGGCGACGAUACAGAGCCGGACCGGGAGGGGGAACGGCCCACCUUGGACUGGGACACCGCCCCGACUCCUUCGGGGGGCCGCCGUAGGGAAUCUUCGGCAAUGGGGCGAAGUCUUGCCGGACAACGCCGGGUGAGGGAAGAAGGUUUUCGGAUCGGAAAACUCUGUUGUAAGAGAAGAAAGAGUGUGAGAGUGGAAAGUUCACACUGUGACGGUAUCUUACCAGAAAGCGACGGCUAACUACGUG